rnacentral:rRNA from 1 species
UACGAAGGGGGCUAGCGUUGCUCGGAAUUACUGGGCGUAAAGCGCGCGUAGGCGGCUUUGCAAGUCGGGUGUGAAAUCCCCAGGCUUAACCUGGGAACUGCAUUCGAGACUGCAUUGCUAGAGUAUGGGAGAGGGAAGUGGAAUUUCCGGUGUAGCGGUGAAAUGCGUAGAUAUCUGGAGGAAUACCGGUGGCGAAGGCGGCAUCCUGGACCGGCAUUGACGCUGAUGAGCGAAAGCUAGGGGAGCAAACGGG